UGCCGCUUGCGAGGGCGUAUGGUGGAUGCCUUGGCAGACAGUACCGAUGAAGGACGUUUGAGGAUGCGAUAAUCCUAGGGGAGCCUCCAACAUGGCUUUGAUCCUAGGGUCUCCGAAUGGGGGAACCCGCCGGCCGUCAUGGGCCGGCACCGCCUAUGGGCGGGGGGUACGCAGGGAAGUGAAACAUCUCAGUACCUGCAGGAAGGGAUACUCCGUGAGUAGUGGCGAGCGAAAGCGGAUCAGACCAAACCGGUUGCGCGUGAUACCCGUCGGGGGUUGCGUUGCCGGUGUUGUGGGAUCACGUGUCCCGGUUCCGACGGGCCGGGCGGGAGUCAUAAAACGGCUUGCCAGGGGAACAGGCUUGAAGGCCUGGCCGUAGAGGGUGCCAGCCCCGUACCUGGACGUGAGCCGUCUUCCGAUCGUGUUGUCCCAAGUAGCGCGGGCCUCGUGGAAUCCCGCGUGAAUCAGCCCAGACCGUUGGGUAAGUCUAAGCAUACCUGUCUGACCGAUAGCGUACCAGUACCGUGAGGGAAAGGUGAAAAGCACCCCGGGAGGGGAGUGAAACAGUUCCUGAAACCGUGCGCCCACAAACCGUCGGAGCCUCUGUGUGGGGUGACGGCGUGCCUAUCGAAAAAUGAGUCUGCGAGUCAGUGGCGGGUGGCGAGCAUAAGCCGUGUGGCGUAUGCGUAGCGAAAGCGAGUCUUAAAAGGCGUUUUUAGUCGCUUGUCCUGGACCCGAAGCGGGAUGAUCUAGCCCUGGGCAGGUUGAAGCGCGGGUAAGACCGCGUGGAGGACCGAACCCACCUGGGUUGAAAACCGGGGGGAUGACCUGGGGCUAGGGGUGAAAGGCCAAUCAAAUUCCGUGAUAGCUGGUUCUCUCCGAAAUGCAUUUAGGUGCAGCGUCGGUCGAUUGCGUCGCGGGGGUAGAGCUACCGGAUGCUUGCGGGCCCUUGUUGGGUACCAACAGCAGCCGAACUCCGAAUACCGUUGACGUGUAUUCCGGCAGUGAGUCGGCGGGGGAUAAGCUCCGUCGUCGAGAGGGAGACAGCCCAGACCGUCGUCUAAGGUCCCGAAGCGUGUGCUAAGUGGGAAAGGAUGUGGAGUCGCAUAGACAGCCAGGAGGUUGGCUCAGAAGCAGCCAUCCUUGAAAGAGUGCGUAACAGCUCACUGGUCUAGUGGUUCCGCGCCGACAAUGUAGCGGGGCUCAAGCACACCACCGAAGACGCGGCAGCAAUCUUCAUGGUUGCUGGGUAGGAGAGCGUCCUGCGAGGGGCGAAGCGGCGGUGGAAACCGGCCGUGGACUUCGUGGGAGUGAGAAUGCAGACAUGAGUAGCGAGAGACGGGUGAGGAUCCCGUCCGCUGGAUGACCAAGGGUUCCGGGGCCACGUUCGUCGUCCCCGGGUGAGUCGGGUCCUAAGGCGAGGCCGACAGGCGUAGUCGAAUGGAUGAACGGGUGGAUAUUCCCGUACCGACCAUGGACCGGCAAAACCGAGACGGUGAGUACUAACCUCCGCCUCGUGGUGGUUCCUUCCUUCGGGUUGGUAUCGCCGCGUGGUGUUGGGACUGUAGCCGCAGUAGGUCAGCGCAGGGGUGACACGGAAUGGGAGCCGGCCGCGGAGGUGGUUUUCCGUGGUCAAGCACGCAGCCAGUCAUGUAGGCAAAUCCGCAUGGCGCGCAUGGCGAGGUGUGAUGAUGGGAGCCGUUAUGGCUCGAUAUCCGGUUGUCCAGGCCGUCGAGAAAAGCCUCGGCGUGAGGGCCAUGGCCGCCCGUACCCCAAACCGACACUGGUGGUCAGGUAGAGAAUACCAAGGCGAUCGAGCGAAUCCUGGUCAAGGAACUCGGCAAAUCACUCCCGUGCCUUCGGUAUAAGGGAGACCCGCUGGGGUGAACCGGCUAGCCCGGGGAGCUUUGGUGGGUGGCACAGACCAGGGGGUAGCGACUGUUUACCAAAAACACAGGUGCAUGCGAAGGCGAAAGCCGCUGUAUAUGCACUGACGCCUGCCCGGUGCCGGAAGGUUAAGAGGAUCCGUCAAUCCCUUCGGGGACGAAGCGGUGAAUUCAAGCCCCGGUAAACGGCGGUGGUAACUAUAACCAUCCUAAGGUAGCGAAAUUCCUUGUCGGGUAAGUUCCGACCUGCACGAAUGGCGUAACGACUUCCCC
rnacentral:rRNA from 1 species